AGAGUUUGAUCAUGGCUCAGGACGAACGCUGGCGGCGCGCCUAAAACAUGCAAGUCGAGCGAGAACCAGGGCUUCGGCUCUGGGGAGAGCGGCGAACGGGUGCGUAACACGUGAGCAACCUGCCCCGAAGACCGGGACAACACCGGGAAACCGGUGCUAAUACCGGAUGCCCUCACCGGGUCGCAUGGUCUGGUGAGGAAAUGGAUUCCGCUUCGGGAUGGGCUCGCGGUCUAUCAGCUUGUUGGUGGGGUAAUGGCCUACCAAGGCGACGACGGAUAGCUGGUCUGAGAGGACGAUCAGCCACACUGGGACUGAGACACGGCCCAGACUCCUACGGGAGGCAGCAGUUAGGAAUCUUGCGCAAUGGGGGAAACCCUGACGCAGCGACGCCGCGUGCGGGAUGAAGGCCUUCGGGUUGUAAACCGCUUUCAGCAGGGACGAAAUUGACGGUACCUGCAGAAGAAGGCCCGGCCAACUACGUGCCAGCAGCCGCGGUAAUACGUAGGGGCCUAGCGUUGUCCGGAUUUAUUGGGCGUAAAGAGCUCGUAGGCGGUUCGGCAAGUCGGAUGUGAAAUCUCCACGCUCAACGUGGAGGGGCCAUUCGAAACUGCCGUGACUCGAGUCCGGUAGGGGAGUGUGGAAUUCCCGGUGUAGCGGUGAAAUGCGCAGAUAUCGGGAGGAACACCAGUAGCGAAGGCGGCACUCUGGGCCGGUACUGACGCUGAGGAGCGAAAGCGUGGGGAGCAAACAGGAUUAGAUACCCUAGUAGUCC
rnacentral:rRNA from 1 species